CUCUUUUGUUUUUACACCUACAUGGCAUCCGUUAGCCUACACCGCACACGUCCACUUCCUCCCUGAGGAGAGAUGAGAAGGGAUUAACUAAUUUGGUUAUGAGUACACCUGUGUGUGUCCAUCCAUGCGUCAGGGUUUCUCAAGGAGAAAGCAUCAAUUUUUAAGUAAAAAUAAUAAAACAAAAACCGAGUCAAGACCGAGAUCAGGAGGGGGAUGAGAAGUCCGAGACCGUGUCAAGACCGAGACCAGGAGGGGGAUGAGAAGUCCGAGACCGUGUCAAGACCGAGACCAGGAGGGGGAUGAGAAGUCCGAGACCGUGUCAAGACCGAGACCAGGAGGGGGAUGAGAAGUCCGAGACCGUGUCAAGACCGAGACCAGGAGGGGGAUGAGAAGUCCGAGACCGUGUCAAGACCGAGACCAGGAGGGGGAUGAGAAGUCCGAGACCGUGUCAAGACCGAGACCAGAAAAAUGCAAGUCCAAUUCAAGACCAUGACUGUAAUUUUGUCAAAUCGUCACCAUAAGAGUUAAAAAUGUCCAGUAUUUCUGUGUUCAUAUUUCAGAAGAACAUUUGGAUUCUUUGGACAUUCAGAAUGGUGAAAAAAAGGCAUGCUGAUGGUAAAUAGAGCCACUCUAUAAAUGUUUACUAACCCAAACACAGUGGGGAACAAUGAGGGCCUUUACGUUUUCAUCGAAAGGCCAAGGAUUUAUA
rnacentral:lncRNA from 1 species